rnacentral:sRNA from 1 species
AAGAGCAUUAGGUGAAUGCCUAGGCACCAAGAGGCGAAGAAGGACGCGACAAGCUGCGAAAAGCUGUGGGUAGGAGCAAAUAUCCGCCAAACCACAGAUAUCCGAAUGGGGCAACCCACCUCAAAAGAGGUAUCUAUAAGUGAAUACAU